UACGAAGGGGGCUAGCGUUGCUCGGAAUUACUGGGCGUAAAGGGCGCGUAGGCGGCACUGUUAGUCAGGCGUGAAAGUCCUGGGCUCAACCUGGGAACUGCGCUUGAUACGGCAGAGCUAGAGGAUGGAAGAGGCUCGCGGAAUUCCCAGUGUAGAGGUGAAAUUCGUAGAUAUUGGGAAGAACACCGGUGGCGAAGGCGGCGAGCUGGUACAUUACUGACGCUGAGGCGCGACAGCGUGGGGAGCAAACAGG
rnacentral:rRNA from 1 species